GACGAACGCUGGCGGCGUGCCUAAUACAUGCAAAUAGAACGCUGAAGGAGGAGCUUGCUUCUCCGGAUGAGUUGCGAACGGGUGAGUAACGCGUAGGUAACCUGCCUGGUAGCGGGGGAUAACUAUUGGAAACGAUAGCUAAUACCGCAUAACAGUAGAUGUUGCAUGACAUUUGCUUAAAAGGUGCAAUUGCAUCACUACCAGAUGGACCUGCGUUGUAUUAGCUAGUUGGUGAGGUAACGGCUCACCAAGGCGACGAUACAUAGCCGACCUGAGAGGGGGAUCGGCCACACUGGGACUGAGACACGGCCCAGACUCCUACGGGAGGCAGCAGUAGGGAAUCUUCGGCAAUGGACGGAAGUCUGACCGAGCAACGCCGCGUGAGUGAAGAAGGUUUUCGGAUCGUAAAGCUCUGUUGUAAGAGAAGAACGAGUGUGAGAGUGGAAAGUUCACACUGUGACGGUAUCUUACCAGAAAGGGACGGCUAACUACGUG
rnacentral:rRNA from 1 species